ACUCAAAUAGCUUAUAUUAAGAGUAUGACAUUGAAGAGUUAUGGAGAUUAUUUAAUCUUUGAGUA
rnacentral:tRNA from 1 species